GACAGGCAUGGUGAUGCAUGCCUGUAAUCCCAGCUACUCAGGAGUCUGAGGCAGAAGAAUCGCUUGAACCCGGGAGGCAGAGGCUGCAAUGAGCCGAGAUUGUACCACUGCACUCUAUCCUGGGCAACAGAGCGAGACUCUGUCUCAA
ensembl:misc_RNA Metazoa_SRP Metazoan signal recognition particle RNA